UUCUUUUCCGACCCUUUCUCUCUUUUCUCUGUCGAUGUUAACGGCGAUGGAUUCCUGAAAUCUAACAAACGAUCAGAGACCAAGACCACGAAGAAGAAUGAUGUCACCUCCCCCAAAAAAAUUCACCAACGAUUCAAACAUCGUUCAUAAGAACAUCAAUCGAGACAAUCAAACGCAACCCAGCUCAGAUUUUUCCCAUAAAAAAAAAGAAUCUGAUUUUUAUUUCUCUCAAAUUCGGAAUCUUUCGAUGUGGGUGUUAAUCUGUUUUAGUAGUUUUCGAUCUGGGUUUCAUUUUGUUUUUUUUUUUUCUUUUUUUGCUACAUUGCAUAAAAGCCGUUUCAUUUGUUAGGUUUUGUUGUGUUCUUUCUUUGUUUGUAUUCAUGGAUUCAUCUUUGUGAUGUGUUUGUGUAGAUUGUUUAAAAGUUACUCUAUGUGGAAGUAAAUACUAAAGAGGAGGAUAUUGUGUUACUGUUACUGCGAGCCUUUUAGUUUCUUGUUUUAUCGUCUUCAAAGUUUUGGCUUUUUUGAGUUUUGUUUUGGGCAGUGAUGAUUAAUUGUAACAGCUUGAUACGCCAGUUCUGCUUCAGAAAAUUCUUGAUUGAAAAAGCUGUAUUCUUAUCUGAGCCCUUUAUUAGUGUUUCUUUUACCAAGUGUUUGUUUUCGAGACCUAUAGAAAGUUGAUUUAUUUGGCCGUUACAAGUUCUUGUAAAUGAGAAAGGUUGGCAAUGAUAAAUUAUGAUGAUUUAAGGGAAAUUAAGAUUGGUACAAGUUGUUGGGGAAGAAUGGGAAUUGUGCUAUGUUUCAAAUUUCUUGAUCCCCUCUUGUAGAAUCACAGCAAAGGCAGAAAUAUUAGAAGAUUCAAAAUCUUUAGCGGAUCAGAAGGUUGAGAAUGAUGCAGUCGUGGCUCUGGCUUUGAGGAAAGGUUGAACUCUUUAAAAUAUUUGUGGACGUAUCUAGCUGAACCUGAUUCAUGUUUAUAUCCGAUCAAUCUUAUCACUCAGCCUCCC